UAAUGAUCAAAGAAUGGCUUGGCUAAUCACCAAGUCAUCAUCAGAAGUUGGACCUCCUUUUGCUUUUGGGGAGAAUAAAAAGGAGCUGAUCUCUCCCUCAGACAUCAUAUCCUUCUUCAGCAAUCCUUUGAUUAUCUUGUGGUGCUGCACUACUAAAGAAUCCUUCAAGAUGAAAACCUUCAUUCUGAUCGCCUGCAUCCUGGGGACUGCUCUCGGCCGCCCUCAAAGGCUGGUCAUGGAAUUUGACUUCCAGGCUGCCAACGCUCAGGCUCUCCAAGCUGGACAAGCCAGACCUGAUCUAGAGAUUAUCCUUCCUGUUGGUGGUGGAGUACCUUCAGGUGGUUUCAUCAAACAGGAGAUCCCCCAGCCACUCGGCCAGGAGAGCGUUGAGAUCUACCACCCCUUCAGCAUCCAGGUUGCCCCACCUCCGCCAGCUGCACCUGCCCGUACUCAUACAUCCGAUGAGGAAGACGAUUAGAGAUAGCAAUGCAACAGGCUUGAUAAUGUCGUUUGGUGCUACAGUACCUGUGUUUGAUUGUGAUUACCAAUACUUGGAGAUCUACAAUACCCUUUGAUGAACAACGAUGUCCUUCAACUCCACAGCUGCUUUUAGUGUCCUAGAUUGAUUCAGUAAAUGCAAUGCUUAACCCAGCAAUAAACAUAGCGUAACAUGGUGCUUAACCGAUGGCUUGAUGCAUGAAAACUGUGUGCAAUUGUUUGUACUUGGCAGAAGAAUGUUAAUAAAAAAAAAAACAUAAUGUUUUGCCAACCUUCUCCAUA